ACUUCCUUUCAGGUACGUCGCAAGCCACUCACCUGUUUGUUUGGUUGACGUCCUGCUUGCAACUGUUGCCUCAUGCUGAUUGCUAGCCGCUGUGGAAUGCGACCCGGACAGACGUUGUUGGGAGCGAGCAUUGACCUGAGGUAAUCUUAUUUACGUUCAUAUCAACAUGAUGUUAUUCAGUUUUUUUCCAAAUGGUUUUGAGUUACUUUAUUUCCAUUUAGUACAAUGCUGUUGCUUAUUUAGUCAUUUGAAUUAGUAGUUGACAUUCAUUUGCCAAUGCACACUUGAUGUCUGCACACGUUGUGCAGAAAGUGUGACGCAUUGAUUCAUGGUGCAAUAUUUGCAAUGCAAUGAAAUUCAAAAUUACAUGAAAUUUGAAUGUACGUCCACUGAAAACUGAAAUGAAUAAUGUUUCUAAUCCUAUUCCAAUUUGUAUGCAAAUAUCAAGGGAGUUGAUGGUGAACGGCCAUAAAUUAAGCUUGAAGAACUCCCAACGGCAACAAUAGUCAGACAAUGCGCUAGGAGGCCUUGCAACCUGCUCUCCCUUGAAACAUCAAGCAAAACCACUUAAUAAACUGAACAUCCUAAUGAUAUUUGCAUGCACUAUGUGGAUAUGCAGGACUCUCAAUUGGCAGGGGGUCUUGGUUUUAUGAAUUUGUUUGUAUAAACAAUGUAGAGAUUG